rnacentral:rRNA from 1 species
GUAGGUGGCGAGCGUUGUCCGGAUUUACUGGGCGUAAAGAGCGCGCAGGCGGCUGGGCAAGUCCGAUGUGAAAGCUUCCGGCUUAACUGGAAAAUUGCAUCGGAAACUGCUCGGCUUGAAGGUGGGAGAGGGUAGCGGAAUUCCCGGUGUAGUGGUGAAAUGCGUAGAUAUCGGGAGGAACACCAGUGGCGAAGGCGGCUACCUGGCCCACUCUUGACGCUGAGGCGCGAAAGCUAGGGGAGCAAACGGGAUUAGAUACCCCGGUAGUCCUAGCCGUAAACGAUGAACACUAGGCGUAGUCGGUAUCGACCCCGGCUGUGCCGUAGCCAACGCAUUAAGUGUUCCGCCUGGGGAGUACGGCCGCAAGGCUAAA